rnacentral:lncRNA from 1 species
GGCUUCUUCCCUUUUGUCUGGCCUGAGGCGGCAGGAAGGCAGUAAGGGCUGCUUCCAGGCCGCUUCCUGUGGCCAGCCCUUCCCCAGGGCUCAGGAGGGGGCUCCUGCCGGCCAGGGAGUUAACCAGAAGCAGUGGCAUGUUGUGGGGGAGGGGAGGGUUCUUUUUCAGUUAGGGCUUGCACCAGACAGCCUCUGAGCUCCGUGCCCCUGGAAUUCUAACGGAAACCAUGGCAACCAGGCAGCAUGGUGAGCUCAGCCUAGGGACCAGCCCUCUGCCAGCAGCCCCUGGCUUGUCAUGGGGAGGCUCGCUGUCCGCCUUGUCUUUGAUGCUCUUUCUGAUGCCACUGGAGAAACAUAUGGAGGGAGAUGCAGUGGCCUCUGAUUCAGGAAGGCCUGGCUUCUAAUUCUAGUCAGUGCAUUUCUCCCGACCUCCAGGAAUCUCUGUAAGCCCGGAAACUGCAGGAGCCAGGUACAGGACUGAGUGGAAGCAGCAGGAACGAAGCUAAUAUAGAGGCUCUGACAUCACAGGCCUCUGUGACAUGUCGCAGGGUAAACCUCUGUGAGAUCACAACAUUCCAUGUUAUUUAAGGCUGGCCAGCUCUCACAUCUCUUCAUUCCCACAGGCAGAAGAGACAGUGAGGAACUGAUAGGCAAUUCUCAAAGCAGGAGAUGGGGGGGGUUCUCCCCUUUCCCUGUGUCUGGCAGGUCCCCAAAUAGAAGACUAUAGUCUCAGGGGUCCAAAAGGCUUUUUAGUGGUCAGAAAGAGACCCUUGGGGGUCUGAAGAAGAUAAGAAAAAGGACAAACAGUAAAAGCGAGUGUGCAGUUUAAAAAGCUAUCGAGAUUAAGAUUUCGAUCAAGAAGCCAAAGUUGGUGUGAGGCUGAGGACCAUCUUUCACUUUGGGGACCUGGUGAUAUCCCAAGGCUGAUCAUUCUGGAAGGCUUGAAGUCUCUGAAGUGGAAGAAGUGAGUUCCUAUGGCCCCCCUGUCUAGGCUUCACCACCUCAUAAUCGGCAUUGCUCUUUUCCUUCUGCUAAUCCCCUGGGUUGAGGCUCGGUGCUGCUACUAUUGUGACAGCACCAUCAUGGGAAACUGCCCAAACAUCAAGAUAACCUGUGCAGAAGAGGAUAACUGCUACACUGGCCUUGCUGCAUCCCCUGGCCUCCCAACAAUUAUCAUCAAGAGCUGUAUGGAGGCCAGAUUCUGUGGACGAGAGCAACAUAUCACGACAUUCAGUUUCAAAACAGUUUUCCCACUGAUACAGCUACCAAGCUAUCUACCAAGGCUGUCUUCAUGGUGGUGUUUCUGUUCCUGUUCUGAGCAUGAUGAAGAGAUGAAUUCCUUCCUUACUCUAGCCAGGUGCCAUCUUUCCCCCUCCUAAUAUCCCUUCCUCAUGUGAAGUGCAUUAAUAAAAUGGCUAGAGGAAGAACCUGUCUUGGAUUG